AGAUUGAACGCUGGCGGCAGGCCUAACACAUGCAAGUCGAGCGGCAGCACGGGUACUUGUACCUGGUGGCGAGCGGCGGACGGGUGAGUAAUGCCUAGGAAUCUGCCUGGUAGUGGGGGAUAACGCUCGGAAACGGACGCUAAUACCGCAUACGUCCUACGGGAGAAAGCGGGGGACCUUCGGGCCUCGCGCCAUUAGAUGAGCCUAGGUCGGAUUAGCUAGUUGGUGAGGUAAUGGCUCACCAAGGCGACGAUCCGUAACUGGUCUGAGAGGAUGAUCAGUCACACUGGAACUGAGACACGGUCCAGACUCCUAACGGGAGGCAGCAGUGGGGAAUAUUGGACAGUGGGCGAAAGCCUGAUCCAGCCAAUGCCGCGUGUGUGAAGAAGGUCUUCGGAUUGUAAAGCACUUUAAGUUGGAAGGAAGGUUGUAACCUAAUACGUUGCAACUUUGACGUUACCGACAAGAAUAAGCACCGGCUAAACUUCGUAGCCAGCAGCCGUACG
rnacentral:rRNA from 1 species